CGGCGGACGGGUGAGUAACGCGUGGGUAACCUACCCUGUACACACGGAUAACAUACCGAAAGGUAUGCUAAUACGGGAUAAUAUAUUUGAGAGGCAUCUCUUAAAUAUCAGAGGUGAGCCAGUACAGGAUGGACCCGCGUCUGAUUAGCUAGUUGGUAAGGUAACGGCUUACCAAGGCGACGAUCAGUAGCCGACCUGAGAGGGUGAUCGGCCACAUUGGAACUGAGACACGGUCCAA
rnacentral:rRNA from 1 species